rnacentral:rRNA from 1 species
CAGCCCUUGACAUGUGACUCGCCGGUCCCAGAGAUGGGACCUUCGGUUCGGCCGGAGUCAACACAGGUGCUGCAUGGCUGUCGUCAGCUCGUGUCGUGAGAUGUUGGGUUAAGUCCCGCAACGAGCGCAACCCUCGUCUCCAGUUGCCAUCAGGUUAUGCUGGGCACUUUGGAGAAACUGCCGGUGACAAGCCGGAGGAAGGUGGGGAUGACGUCAAGUCCUCAUGGCCCUUACGGGCUGGGCUACACACGUGCUACAAUGGCGGUGACAAUGGGAUGCGAUGGCGCGAGCCGUAGCCGAUCCUAAAAAACCGUCUCAGUUCGGAUUGCACUCUGCAACUCGAGUGCAUGAAGUUGGAAUCGCUAGUAAUCGAGGAUCAGCAUGCCUCGGUGAAUACGUUCCC